rfam:Bombyx mori DNA, contig: Bm_scaf49_contig25995, strain: p50T/Dazao, build 2, whole genome shotgun sequence.
UCAAGUCAAAUUUGUAUGGAGUGGAACAUUUGCCUACGUUUGCCGCUAAGGGCGCUGUUCCAACUGUAUACAAAUUAGAGUUA